rnacentral:rRNA from 1 species
CCUACGGGUGGCAGCAGUGGGGAAUAUUGGACAAUGGGCGAAAGCCUGAUCCAGCCAUGCCGCGUGUGUGAAGAAGGCCUUCGGGUUGUAAAGCACUUUCAGUGGGGAAGAAAGCCUUGGGGCUAAUACCCUCGAGGAAGGACAUCACCCACAGAAGAAGCACCGGCUAACUCCGUGCCAGCAGCCGCGGUAAUACGGAGGGUGCGAGCGUUAAUCGGAAUUACUGGGCGUAAAGCGCGCGUAGGCGGUCUGAUAAGCCGGUUGUGAAAGCCCCGGGCUCAACCUGGGAACGGCAUCCGGAACUGUCAGGAUAGAGUGCAGGGGAGGAAGGUAGAAUUCCCGGUGUAGCGGUGAAAUGCGUAGAGAUCGGGAGGAAUACCAGUGGCGAAGGCGGCCUUCUGGACUGACACUGACGCUGAGGUGCGAAAGCGUGGGUAGCAAACAGGAUUAGAUACCCGAGUAGUC